UUCCUGGUCUUCCAGGGCUCGGCACGCCGGGUCGGGUCACCUGGGCCUCGGCGCUGCGGCGCUCCUCCCACUCGCGGCAGCUGUCCAGGUCGCGCCGCCACUGCCCACAGGCCGGCCGCUCGCCGUGGACGUAAUAGUGGCGGAGGAAGUGGCCGGCGCUGCUGCAGAGCUCCCACUCGGCGCGGUAGGCCUCGCACGGGCGCGGCGGCUGCGGGGACGGGGGAGUGAGCUGGGGACCCGGUGAGCGCCAGCCCGUCCCGCACGUACGGACCCGGUCUCCGUCCUCCCGACCUGGCCCCGCGGGUCCCCUGGUCCCACCGCACUUACCUGCCAGCCUCCACCUUCCGCCAUGUCCCGGGACUGCCUAACCCGCCUCCUGAGCCCGCGGACCGCCGCGUGACUGAUGGGCGGAGGGACUAAUGAGCCCCGAGAUCUCACCACUAACUCCUCGCCCAUCUCCUUGAGACGCGCCACUGAACAGGACGUCCGGGUUGGCAGCCAAUAACAGUCGAGGGAGGGCGGGGCCUGGAGGCCUGUGUGGGCGGGGCCUGGAGGCUGGGGCGGAGCCGAGGCCGGUGUGGGCCGGGCAUGCCCCCAGGGUCACCAGGCCCGGCUAGCCACGCGGCGGAGGUGACUUCGGCGUCCCCUCGAGCCGGCGGUCGCUCGGCUGCACAUUCACGUCCAGUGGCCGUUUCUGACGGAACCACGCGGCUCGGGCAGAGACUGUCCUUCUCCAGAGAAAGCGACGAAUCUGCCUCCAGCGUCAUCCUGAGUGUGAAGAGAAAAUACCAUUUUCAGAAACUCCUAGGAAGUUUAAUAAGAAAUGCUUUAUUCUGUUGACUCAUGUACCAUCUGCCCAUUUUCCUUACUCUCACAUUCACAAUAAGAAAUGUCUUUGAAAUAGAAAUGCAAGUUAUAAUCUACUGAAUUGAAAACAAAACCAUGGAAUCACAACUCUGUCUACCAUAGCCUUUUUUCUCAGCAGAAAGACGGCUUCUUUUUUCUGAACCCUCGAAAACACCAGGCAUCUUUCCACGAGCUUUGCUGCUAGUCAGGGGAAGCGUUGUCUGUGGAAGAGGAUCCUGAGCUCCCCAGCACACCCUCCCCAAACACCCGGCCCACCGCCUAAUGCAGCUGGUGUUUGCAGUGGGGCCCAUACAAGGUUCACAUGGUGGCGACCACGCAAAGGGAGGACAGCAGUGCCGGAGCGUCAACAUGCAACUGACUUUCCAACAGUGCAGGACACGGCUUAGAGAGAAAGCAAGAGUGAUCACAUCUGGUGAAUCUACGUGAAGAGUAUACGUGUCUGUUGUACUAGUUCAGCUCUCCGGUAGGCUAU